UCCCACCGUUGGAAAAUCACAGGCGUGCCUGCAACCCUCCCGAGGAGACAGAGUGAUUCAAAGGCCCUUCUUAGACUGUGAUGGCAAAUGGAGAACCAGACUUCAGGUGUAAACUGGAGAGGGCUUUGCUGCCAGCAAGACGUCCUUUGAGACAGUUACCACCUGGAACAUGUUGUGCUGCCAUUUCAUUCACUUUCUUUCCAUGGAGGGGGAAGCUGUGCAAAGCCUGUUGAAGAAUACGUGCAUUCCAGAGCUUUAGAAAAAUGUGUCUGCAGAUCUGUAUGUCAUUGCAGAGAUUAGUCUAGAGGGAUUUCAUGCAUCAAAUAGAACAGAAUAUAAUGACUUUUGAUCUUUACUGAAGUGGUGAGAGAAUGGAAAUAAGAAAAAAAGAAGGAAAGCAGCACAGAAGGUAGAAAUUGUGGAGAAUACACCAGGAAUUUCUGGAACAUUUUACGCUUCAAAAAUAUGCACAUGUGGAUUGUGAACUGCUUCAUAAUUGUUCUAGGACCUGCCUCAAAAAGUCUGUCGGAAACGCCAGGGGGCCCAGGCCCUCAUUUCUU